GGUGUUGUAGUGGUAACAUGCUGGCCUCAUAUGUCAGAUGUCCGGAGUUCAAACCCCGGCAAGACCA
rnacentral:tRNA from 1 species